AGUGAACGCUGGCGGCAGGCCUGACACAUGCAAGUCGAACGGUAGCACAGAGGAGCUUGCUCCUUGGGUGACGAGUGGCGGACGGGUGAGGAAUACAUCGGAAUCUACGCUGUCGUGGGGGAUAACGUAGGGAAACUUACGCUAAUACCGCAUACGAACUGAGGUUGAAAGCCGGGGACCGCAAGGCCUGGCACUGAAGGAUGAGCCCAAGUCGGAUUAGCUAGUUGGCGGGGUAACGGCCCACCAAGGCGACGAUCCGUAGCUGGUCUGAGAGGACGAUCAGCCACACUGGGACUGAGACACGGCCCAGACUCCUACGGGAGGCAGCGGUGGGGAAUAUUGGACAAUGGGGGAAACCCUGAUCCAGCGACGCCGCGUGGGUGAAGAAGGCCUGCGGGUUGUAAAGCCCUUUCGGUAGGGACGAAAGCUCUCGACCUAACACGUCGGGAGGUUGACUUAACCUACAAAAGAAGCACCGGCUAACUCUGUGCCAGCCGCCGCCGUAAAAC
rnacentral:rRNA from 1 species